rnacentral:rRNA from 1 species
CCUACGGGUGGCAGCAGUGAGGAAUAUUGGUCAAUGGGCGCGAGCCUGAACCAGCCAAGUAGCGUGAAGGAUGACUGCCCUACGGGUUGUAAACUUCUUUUAUAUAGGACUAAAGUAGGGUACGUAUACCUUUUUGUAUGUACUUUAUGAAUAAGGAUCGGCUAACUCCGUGCCAGCAGCCGCGGUAAUACGGAGGAUCCGAGCGUUAUCCGGAUUUAUUGGGUUUAAAGGGAGCGUAGAUGGGUUGUUAAGUCAGUUGUGAAAGUUUGCGGCUCAACCGUAAAAUUGCAAUUGAUACUGGCAGUCUUGAGUACAGUAGAGGUAGGCGGAAUUCGUGGUGUAGCGGUGAAAUGCUUAGAUAUCACGAAGAACUCCGAUUGCGAAGGCAGCUCACUAAACUGCCACUGACACUGAUGCUCGAAAGUGUGGGUAUCAAACAGGAUUAGAUACCCGUGUAGUC